UCUGGUAAUGAUGGCAGAGAGGUCACACCCGUUCCCAUACCGAACACGGAAGUUAAGUUCUCUAGCGCCGAUGGUAGUUGGGACCUUGUCCCUGUGAGAGUAGGACGUUGCCAGGC
rnacentral:rRNA from 5 species